rnacentral:rRNA from 1 species
CUACGGGACGCACCAGUGGGGAAUAUUGCACGAUGGGCGCAAGCCUGAUGCAGCAACGCCGCGUGAACGAAGAAGGUCUUCGGAUCGUAAAGUUCUUUUCUUAGGGAAGAAAAAUGACGGUACCUAAGGAAUAAGCACCGGCUAAAUACGUGCCAGCAGCCGCGGUAAUACGUAUGGUGCAAGCGUUAUCCGGAAUCACUGGGCGUAAAGGGAGCGUAGGCGGUUUUGCAAGUCAGAAGUGAAAGGCUACGGCUCAACCGUGGUAAGCUUUUGAAACUGCAAGACUAGAGUGCAGGAGAGGCAAGUGGAAUUCCUAGUGUAGAGGUGAAAUUCGUAGAUAUUAGGAGGAACACCAGUGGCGAAGGCGACUUGCUGGACUGUAACUGACGCUGAGGCUCGAAAGCGUGGGGAGCGAACAGGAUUAGAUACCCGCGUAGUC